UUGUCUGAUGUUACAAAUUAAUCAUCAAUUGCCUUCAGCAAUUCUCGAACAUUGUCGUAUUGCUCGACAGAACCCCUAAUCCCAGCAGAUAUUUUGGUUUUUAUGAACAUGACUGAAAGGCGAUUAGAUCGCUCCCAUUUUUCAUAAAGAUCAACUUGGUCUGGAAUGCUGGUUUCAGUAAUUUUAGGUGGUUCGUCUUUCCUAAUAGCAUAGUCAAUGUCCAUCCACCCUAAGUGAAGGAGAAUCCUUUCCUUCCAAACCUUAUAGUUGUCACCCUUAAGUUCAGGAACAUCGCAUUUCAUAUCAGAGAAAUUAAUUGGUUGAAUA
rnacentral:lncRNA from 1 species